AACAAUGAGCUGUAUGACAUAUACGACGACAUUGACAUAGAUCGGCGAAUAAAAAGACAGCGGCUACGCUGGCUAGGUCAUGUUGUCCGAAUGGACGAAAACACUCCUCCUCUGAAAGUGGUCGACGCAGUACCCGCCGGGGGAAGCAGAGGAAUAGGAAGACCUCCACUCCGUUGGAAGGACCAAGUGGAGAAGGACCUGGCUUCGCUUGGAAUAUCCAAUUGGCGCCACGUAGCAAAAAGGAGAAACGACUGGCGCGCUGUUAUUAACUCGGCUAUAAUCACUUAGGCGGUGUCUACGGCAAUAAAAUGCAAACAUGAAAAUCUAACUAGACAAUUGUACAUUUGCAAAGGAAGUAGUAGAAUUUUUAGGAUACGUAAUCAGCCCAAAUAGGAUAAAAACCAUCCCGAAAAAGUUGAAGCGGUAGCUAAAUUUCCAGUCCCACAAACUCUUGAAGAAUUAAGAUCCUUCAUUCGUAUAUCAGGCUACUACCGACGAUUUAUGCAGGAUUAUGCGAAAAUAGCUAAACUAUUAACAGCACUACUAAGAGGAGAAGCCGGUUAUAUUUCCAAACGAAACUCGCAGAAAAUAGAAGCAGUAUUGGACAACGAGGGAUUAGAAGCAUUCAAUAAAAUAAAAUACACUUUAGUAUCCAAAAACUUAGGGUAUCCAAAUUUCGAGAAAGAUUUUGAACUAACGACCGACGUCUCAGAUUUUGCAUUAGGUGCCGUCCUAUCGGAAGAUGUUAGACCAAUCACUUUCUUUUCGAGAACUUUAACAAAGCCGAAGAGCACUAUGCUACCAACGAGAAAGAAAUGCUUUUUAAAAUAUGGUCAAAAAAAAUUAUCACCGAUCAUCAACAUCUUACCUAUGCCCUAAGCCAUAAGAAGCCAAUGGUAUAGUGAAGCGAUGGAAAGCCAUUUUAGAAGAAUAUAACUACGAACUAACUUACAACAACCUGGUAAAACAAAUGUAGUUGCAGACGCCCUUUCAAGAAUACCGAUACAAAUAAAUUCACUCACACUUACGAUUCAUAGCGAUGAAAGCUGAAGUCAUAAUAUAAUCCCUUAUUCAGAAGUUCCAAAUUUUUUCUAGCUUCACGAAAUAUCUUCAUAUCAAUUUAAAAUAGUUUUUCCAACUGUUCAUAGACCCAUCUGUUAUAAAUGGAAUUCAUACAGAAGAAAGGAUAAUCGUAACAUUAAAAGCCGAUAUACCCAAAAAUUAGUUGAAGAUACAUUAUUAGUAACGCACAAGAACAGGAUAACGUCGUCAAAAUAACAUCUAAGAGAACAUAGGAAUGCAACUGAAAAUAAAACACACAUUCUCGAAACAAAAUAUUUUCCAGGUAUGUUAAAUAAAAUAAAACGAAUAAUAGCCAACUGUACCAUUUGUAAAGAAAAUAAAUACGAGAGACAUUCCAAUCAACCGAAAAUUACAGAAACUCCAUUACCAACAUAUCCAGGACACAUAACGAUAUAUUUUUAACAGAAGGAAAAAUAGUUAUGACAGCUUUAAAUGAAUUUACAAAAUACGCAUUCUAAAAAAGCAGAGCAGUAGGAGACGUCAGAAGACCCCUAUGAGACAUUAUAUUUUUUUUCGGAGUACCAAAAUUAAUAGUUAUUGACAAUCAGCUAUGUUUAAACUUAUAGCGGGAUUCUGUAAGCAGUCUCUAGUCUAUUUGAGACAUUUUGAGGUAAAGUCUCAAUUUGAGACUAGUUACUAUUCACAAUACAGUCUCUAGUCUCAAAACAUUGACUCAAAUUUUGUCAGCUGGUAAUAAGCAGGUCUCAAACGUAUUAAGAAAAGAGAAAACAAGCAAUUGACGAAGAAUUCGCAGCUUUUUUGUCAAUUUUACAAACUUAUGAAAAUGAAGAAAAGUAAGUAUUGUUUAAUAGCAAUGAAUAUAACAAUAUAAUAUUAAUUUCUUUCAAUUAGAAAUGCAAACAGGAAGAAUUUGGCGCACUUAAGGAAUAGUGAGGAUCCAGUUUUAUUGGAGGAAGAAAUAUUUAGAAAAUGUUUUCGUUUUCCGAAAUCGUUAUGUUGGGACCUUAUGCAGGAUUUGAAACCUCAUGAUAAUCAUUUCCGAAAGCCUGCUAUUCCUUUUGAGAUUCGGUUCGUUUCAGUGUUAUAUUUUUUUUCAAAUGGCUCAUACCAAUACAGCAUUGGAAAUAGCCAUUUAUCACCAUGAGUCAAGGCAUAUAUGCAAACUUGUGUUGGAACACAAAAAUGUGGAAAUAAGCUUCCCAAAUGCAACAGAGCACUACAACAUAAUUAAAAUGGGUUUCCAUAAUAAAUUUGGAAUAAAAGGAGUGAUUGGUGACUGCACCCAUGUUGCCAUAAUUGGACCGGGAAUAAAUGCACUAUGUUAUUAUUAUUAUCUUUACUAAUAAAUUAUUCAUUUAUAUUUUCAUAAAAAAUUAAUGAAUUCAUUUAUUCAGUCUUCUUUGACAUGU